rnacentral:tRNA from 1 species
GGUUCUAUAGUGUAGCGGUUAUCACGGCCGGUUCUGAUCCGACCAACCCCGGUUCGAACCCGGGUAGGACCU